GGGAGAAUCACAUCAGCAACAAAUUCAGACCAUAAAGAUACACAGGGGAACCCCGCAGCGUGUAACAGUAUGUACUGCUGAGAAUUGAAUAAUGUUGGUAAACAAUGUGAAAAUAAUUAUAGUAAUUAUAAGUGUUACACAUGCGGGAAAAAUUGUUUGGAAAGUAAUUAAGACCUCAUGCACAUGUCUCAUCUUCCUGGAAGUUGAAGAAGGAAUAUAAAACUCAAAGGAUUCAGAGCUCCUCUGGCCAUUUCUCUUGACUUCCUCCUGGACAACUGGGUGUGGGACGAGGUCCCUGCGCUUCACAAAUCCCCGCUCUGUGCUGCAGCUUUGCCACCAUUCCUCCCAGAUGUCCUUCGGGGCCGGGUGGUACACAGGACCCUGCUCCAAUCCCUGCACCGUGCAGUGCCCGCAGCCUCUUGCUACCAGCUGCAAUGAACCCUGUGUUGUAUCCUGCCCUGCCUCCAGAGUCAUCAUAUUCCCCCCUCCCGUCGUUGUGACUUUCCCAGGGCCGAUCCUCACCACAUGCCCACAGGAGACGGUGGUGGGAA